rnacentral:rRNA from 1 species
AAAUGAAUAGACGGGGGCCCGCACAAGCAGCGGAGCAUGUGGUUUAAUUCGAAGCAACGCGAAGAACCUUACCAAGACUUGACAUCGUAUGAUCACUGUAGAAAUAUAGUUUCCCUUCGGGGCAUAUAGACAGGUGGUGCAUGGUUGUCGUCAGCUCGUGUCGUGAGAUGUUGGGUUAAGUCCCGCAACGAGCGCAACCCCUAUUUCUAGUUGCCAAUAUUCAGUUAGGAACUCUAGAAAGACUGCCGUGGAUAACACGGAGGAAGGUGGGGAUGACGUCAAAUCAUCAUGCCCCUUACGUCUUGGGCUACACACGUGCUACAAUGGCUAUUACAAAGAGCAGCGAGCUGGCAACAGUAAGCGAAUCUCAAAAAGAUAGUCUCAGUUCGGAUUGUGGGCUGCAACCCGCCCACAUGAAGUCGGAGUUGCUAGUAAUCCCGAAUCAGAAUGUCGGGGUGAAUGCGUUCCCGGGCCUUGUACACACCGCCCGU